rnacentral:rRNA from 1 species
CCAGACUCCUACGGGAGGCAGCAGUGAGGAAUAUUGGUCAAUGGGAGAGAUCCUGAACCAGCCAAGCCGCGUGAGGGAAGACGGCCCUAUGGGUUGUAAACCUCUUUUGUCGGAGAACAAAACCCGGGACGUGUCCCGGACUGCGUGUAUCCGAAGAAAAAGCAUCGGCUAACUCCGUGCCAGCAGCCGCGGUAAUACGGAGGAUGCGAGCGUUAUCCGGAUUUAUUGGGUUUAAAGGGUGCGUAGGCGGACUGUUAAGUCAGGGUAAAAACCCGGGGGCUCAACCCCGGCGAGCCGUUGAAACUGGCUGUCUUGAGAUGUCGAGAGGUAUGCGGAAUGCGCAGUGUAGCGGUGAAAUGCUUAGAUAUCGCGCAGAACUCCGAUUGCGAAGGCAGCAUGCCGGCUCCACACUGACGCUGAGGCACGAAAGCGUGGGUAUCGAACAGGAUUAGAUACCCCAGUA